CGGCAGGUUGUUUUGUUCCGGCGUUGCGGAGAGAGGUGCUUGUGUGAUCCUCCACCAGUGAGAGUAUAGCGCCUCCGGUCCUGGGGGUUUGAGCGCUGCCUUCACCUCCGUGGCAACUCACUCAGCCUUAAGUGAAGAAUCAAGACAUCUGCCUAGCCGUUGUUGUGAGGGCUCCUCCUCAGUGGAGCCUGCUGUCUUGUCUUGUCUUGUUUGGUUUUGAAUUGUUUUACCUUGUCUUAUUUGGUUUUAUUAAGUAGGCCUACCAUUUCCUGGUUCGCCUGGUUUUAUUUUAUCUCUGGAUUGUUGCGUGUGCCCACGCUUCUGUGAUCGGGCUGAAGCAAUUCUUUGCCCGAGUGUCGUGCCGGGGAUUUUAAAUUGCCCCGUUGCUGGUCUUAGCCUGUGGGGAGCCAGACCAGCUCGCGAUUGAGGCUGGGACCAUUACUACCAUGAACGGAGGACGUACCAGUGGCCCUGGGACCUUAGGUGGUGGGUCGUUUUCACACUUUCUUUUGUACAGCACCGGGUGGGCUGCAGUGAUUUUCGUUUUGUGUGAUUUUCUUUUGGGUCCACGGCUGCUGGUAAGUCCAAGUUCCAUGUUUGUUUUAUUUUCACUUUAGGACACUGUCAACAAUGACGCUACAUCUUGGUUUCUAAAUAUUUUAUUUAUUUUUACUAUAAAUAAAACUGUUUUAAUAUUGGAGCCAACCUGCCUCAGUGUGCAUCCUUGAAUCUGUGCGGCCUCCUUUUAUUCUUUUUUAUCUAUUUUUCUUAAAUAUAUUUCCUGGGGGUGAAAUUCCCCUAGGUGGCGUUGUCAUUUUAUUAUUUCUUUUAUAACCCCGCCGACCACUUGGUCACAUUUAGAUUAAACAUUAAAAUAAUUAUUUCUGCCUAAGUUUUACCUUACCUAAAUUAUCAAACACCCGAAAAGUCACAAAAUGAUCAUAUAAUCCAUUGUUCCACAUUAGACCUAAAAUUCACCCUUUCUGACACAUUUCCAUGUGUCAAACAAAACCACAAUUACGAAAUUAAAAGAGAGGAAAAAGGUUAAUCAUAUUAUUUCUCAGAACACCUCAGCAAUUCUCCUCUCGAGUAUAUUUGCUCCGGGCCAGCAAACCGGUGUUAAAGGAAUAAAAUUGGUUUAAGUAUCAUGUUAAAUCUUUUGAACUCCUGGCUCCACCCAGAGCCUGCAUCCUCGGAACUGCCUAGAAACAAACCUGUGUGUUAACAUCAACUUCACAUUUGAAACUCAGUUUUCCCCACUGUGAUCAAAUCUGUGCUAUAAGAAAUAAAACUUAAAACAGAACAGUUAUCACUCAUGUGCUUCAUACAAAAUUAGCAUAUUUUUUAAUUUCACAUCGAUCCUCUGAGUGUCAUGGUACUUCUUUUAAUUUUGACUUUAUCAAAGCUAACUAAAAUAGAUUUGCUUUCCUUACUUUGCUCCUGUUCUCCUCCAGUACCAGCUAGUAUCACAUACCCUUACCGAUCGUGUUCUUUUAAUAAUUUACUAUUUUAAAGGAAAAAACCUCGGUCCUUGGACCAGUGUUUGUUAUUCCAUAACUGCAUUUUAAUCUAAGAAGUUACCAAUCCCCUAUAUAAUUCCUAAAUUUUGCUUUCAUUCUAAUUAUUUUCCUCUAUAAAAUUUAUUUGAUUUCUACGGUGGCCUGCUUUGGUUAAUGGUAGUCUGAGUAAUAUCAAAAAUUUUCUCCCCUUUAACAUUUGACAUUUUCCCAGCAAUAUAAUGUAAUACCAUAAUCUAAACCCAGUCAAUAAAACAGAAUUUUCUUAAAGCAAACAUCAGCAACCCAAAAUUAGCAGCCGAAAGGUUAAGUCUGCAGCUCCACACUCAUGUGAAACUACACUCUUCCGCUCUGGUCUCUCUUCUCCUCCUGCUCAUGGCAAAGCAAAACAAAGCAAAGCAAAGCAUCCCCCCAUCUGUUGCCGGCGUGGUGAAUUGUUUGUCAACAUUUACUCAUCCUAACCUUGGUCCAGUCUUUAUCUCAGUGUCAAGUCAGUCAGCACUUUAGUCCACAUCGUCAGUCCAGUCACACAUUCACUCACCCACAUUCACAUGAGAUAUUGCUGAUAGUGGAGAUUCCCACGCAAACAAUCAGAUUCUCCACCCUCAGCAACAUGAGCUCAUUCAUUUGUUUUAUUUUUUUUUUGUUUUUUGUUUUUAGAAAAAGAGUUCUUUAGUAUCUUUUAACUGGAUUUACUCGCUGCAAUCCUUUUGGACAGGAACUCAAACGCUCAUCGGUUCCCACAGUUAGGCUUUUCCUCAACCCAUUGUAAUCAGGAAAUGCUCACCUUAUAUUUGUUCUCCCGAAAAUGUUUUAUAGCGCUGUUAAUUCAAUCUUUCAGGCCUGCUUAGAAAAAAAAUGAGUAAAAAGAGAGCUGAAUAUUAGCUCAUCAAAGCACAAAGCAUCGUCACCUGACAGGUUUUCUCCAAGUGCACUGUUACAAAAAUAAUGGCCCCAGUUAUAGACAUGUCCAUGAUUAGUAAAACUCCCUCUAUUGAAAUAAGAAACAACCCAAACCUAACUGCCAGAAUUAACCCCUCACUAAAACAACAACCCCAAAAAUCUUAAUCACAGAAAAGUUUUGCUUACUAAUCUAACAAUAUGUUGUGGGAAUUAGAACUUUCCGGGCUACAAAAGUUUUGCCCUACUCCUGCUUAACUAAUACUUACAU
ensembl:lncRNA